CCUACGGGUGGCUGCAGGGGGGAAUAUUGCACAAUGGGGGAAACCCUGAUGCAGCGACGCCGCGUGAGUGAAGAAGGAAUUCGUAAUGGAAAGCUCUAUCAGCAGGGAAGAAAAGGACGGUACCUGAGUAAGAAGCCCCGGCUAACUACGUGCCAGCAGCCGCGGUAAUACGGAGGGGGCAAGCGUUAUCCGGAUUUACUGGGUGUCAAGGGAGCGUAGACUGCAGGGCAAGUCUGGAGUGAAAGGCGGGGGCUCAACCCCCGGACUGCUCUUGAAACUGUACGGCUGGAGUGCAGGAGAGGUAAGUUGCAUUCCUAGUGUAGCGGUGACAUGCGUAGAUAUUAGGCGGCACUCCAGUGGCGCAGGCGGCUUACUGGACUGUACCUGCCGUUGUGGCUCGACAGCGUGUGGAGCACACCGGAUUAGCUACCCUUGUAGUC
rnacentral:rRNA from 1 species